UUACUUGCACAAUGCAUAUGUUAUAACCUGGUCAGAUUUGGAAAAAAGCAGCCACAUUGACCUCUAUGCAUGUGUGCUUUUUUUAU
rnacentral:SRP_RNA from 1 species